UACGUAGGGGGCAAGCGUUGUCCGGAUUUAUUGGGCGUAAAGAGCGUGUAGGCGGCCAUGUAGGUCCGUUGUGAAAACUCGAGGCUCAACCUCGAGACGCCGAUGGAAACCAUAUGGCUAGAGUCCGGAAGAGGAGAGUGGAAUUCCUGGUGUAGCGGUGAAAUGCGCAGAUAUCAGGAGGAACACCGGUGGCGAAGGCGGGUCUCUGGGCAAUAACUGACGCUGAGGAGCGAAAGCGUGGGGAGCGAACAGG
rnacentral:rRNA from 1 species